rnacentral:rRNA from 1 species
GUGGGGAAUAUUGCACAAUGGGCGAAAGCCUGAUGCAGCGACGCCGCGUGAGCGAUGAAGUAUUUCGGUAUGUAAAGCUCUAUCAGCAGGGAAGAACAAAUGACGGUACCUGACUAAGAAGCUCCGGCUAAAUACGUGCCAGCAGCCGCGGUAAUACGUAUGGAGCAAGCGUUAUCCGGAUUUACUGGGUGUAAAGGGAGUGUAGGCGGUUUUAUAAGUCUGAUGUGAAAGCCCGCGGCUCAACCGCGGUACUGCAUUGGAAACUGUAGAACUAGAGUGUCGGAGAGGUAAGUGGAAUUCCUAGUGUAGCGGUGAAAUGCGUAGAUAUUAGGAGGAACACCAGUGGCGAAGGCGGCUUACUGGACGAUUACUGACGCUGAGGCUCGAAAGCGUGGGGAGCAAACAGG